rnacentral:rRNA from 1 species
GGUCAAGUUAUUAAGGGUGCAGGGCGGAUGCCUUGGCACUAGGAGCCGAUGAAGGACGUGAUAAGCUGCGAUAAGCUUCGGGGAGUUGCACGUAAACUUUGAUCCGAAGAUUUCCGAAUGAGGAAACUCACUUAGAGUAAUGUCUAAGUAUCAUUAAGUGAAUACAUAGCUUAAUGAGGGGAACUCAGGGAACUGAAACAUCUAAGUACCUGAAGGAAGAGAAAGAAAUUCGAUUCCGUAAGUAGCGGCGAGCGAACGCGGAUUAGCCCAAACCAAUAAAGUUUUCUUUAUUGGGGUUGCGGACAUAUCACAUAUAAGAGGUCAUUAUAGACGAAGAAGUUUGGAAAAACUCAUCAUAGAAGGUAAUAAUCCUGUAGUCAAAAUAAUAAUACUUUAGAUAUGAUCCAGAGUACCACGGGACACGUGAAACCCUGUGGGAAGCAGGAGGGACCACCCUCCAAGGCUAAAUACUACCUAGUGACCGAUAGCGUAUAGUACCGUGAGGGAAAGGUGAAAAGAACCCCGGGAGGGGAGUGAAAUAGAACCUGAAACCCUGCACUUACAAGCUGUGGAAGCACAUUUCUUGUGUGACCGCGUACUUUUUGUAGAACGGGCCAACGAGUUACGUUAAGUAGCAAGGUUAAGCACUUAAGGUGCGGAGCCGUAGCGAAAGCGAGUUUUAACUGAGCGUUCAGUUACUUGACGUAGACCCGAAACCGGGCGACCUACCCAUGAGCAGGAUGAAGCGAAAGUAAAAUUUCGUGGAGGUCCGAACCCACGAGCGUUGAAAAGCUCGGGGAUGACUUGUGGGUAGCGGUGAAAUUCCAAUCGAGCCCGGAGAUAGCUGGUUCUCCCCGAAAUAGCUUUAGGGCUAGCCUCAAGGUGAGAGAUACGGAGGUAGAGCACUGAAUGUCCUAGGGGGUAUUGCACCUACCGAAGACUAUCAAACUCCGAAUGCCGUCAUCUUAUACUUGGGAGUCAGACUGUGGGUGAUAAGAUUCAUAGUCGAAAGGGCAACAGCCCAGAUCGUCAGCUAAGGUCCCUAAAUGUAAGUUAAGUGGUAAAGGAUGUGGGAUUGCACAGACAACCAGGAUGUUGGCUUAGAAGCAGCCACUCAUUCAAAGAGUGCGUAAUAGCUCACUGGUCGAGUGAUCCUGCGCCGAAGAUUUCCGGGGCUAAAACUUACUACCGAAGCUACGGCAUCAGUAAUGAUGGGUAGGGGAGCUUCCCAUACGGGUUGAAGCAUGACCGUAAGGACAUGUGGACAGUAUGGGAGUGAGAAUGUUGGCAUGAGUAGCGAGAUGUGGGUGAGAAUCCCACAGGCCGUAAACCCAAGGUUUCCAGGGGAAGGUUCGUCCGCCCUGGGUUAGUCGGGACCUAAGCUGAGGCCGAAAGGCGUAGGUGAUGGACAACAGGUUGAUAUUCCUGUACUACCGAUAACCGUUUGAGAGAAGGGAUGACACAGUAGGAUAAGCUAAGCACACUGUUGGUUAUGUGUGCCCAAGCAUUGAGGCAGUCAAAGUAGGCAAAUCCGCUUUGAUAAUGCU